rnacentral:lncRNA from 1 species
GUCACAAAAAAUUGGCUAAUCCAGGGGCUAUGCAGUAUAAAAACUUCUCUGCUUGUGUGGCUGUGAAGGAAAAGGUGACUUUGAGGAUGAAUGAGUCGAGUUCCAUAGAGACGAAUUGUCUGGAGGGCAACAGGUUAACACACUCAAUCUGUGGUGAAGUGGAGCUUCCCUGGAGACAGUCCAAGAAGCAAGGACUCACAAAUAAGGAAGGCUUUAAUCUGUGUGUUCAAAUCCAGGAAAGUUUUCUAGUUUAAAAAUGUCCUCUCCACCCUGAUGGAUUUCCCAUCCUACUUUACCUACAAAACCAUCACAGAUGUUUUGGAAGUGGGGUCUUCUGAAAAGUAAUCCAGGUUAGUACAAUAUCACUAACUUAUUUUGCUUCCCAUUUAUAACAAAAAUCUGUGAGGUGACUUGAAUGGAGCUGAGUCAUCAUAAAUUAUGUUGCAUCUUUCUAUGCUACUGUAGUUUAAAAAGUCCCCAACAUGUCAAUUACCAGUUUUCAUCUUUGGAGGUUUUCACAGUCAUAAAACUGUGUUGGAACACAACUUAAAUAUUUAUUAUUUGGGAAAAAGCUUUCAGAACAUGCAAGGAAAAGACUGUAAACAGACCUUUUCAUAUUUAUAACCUCCCUAUUACCUAAUGACUAUUCAAAUAAAUGUUUCAAAUGAUGUGUAAAUGUAUGUCA